UUUGAAAAGGGUAUAUAACUGCAACCAAUUACUCUACUGUCAGGUAGUUUAGUAAGUGCUACAGCUGGCUUAAAUAAUUAACAUUGAAGUGUAGCUUUAAUUUCUGAAAUGUGAUUUAUCAUUGAAACUGAAUUCAAUUAAAUUAAACUGAAAGCAGUUUCUGGCAGGAAAUUAGGAAGCUGGUCAGAAAGUCUGCAUCUGUAACUAAUGAUGUGCAACCAUAAUGGUGGUUCAAACACAAAUCUGUCUGCAGAAACAUAAAUAGUAGAUGGUUAGAAAAGGGCAGAGAUGCUUGGGCUGUCAUCAGUCAAACAGUAAGCCGAGCUCAGGCACAUCACGGUGCUGGUGUUUAGUGCUGCUGCACGAACAACAAGAGAGUUCAAGUUACUCAAAGCAAGAAGGCGGGAGCCCAGAUCCAGCACAGCUCCAAGGUCCUUGUACUCUGCAUGCCGGCUGACGGUCAUACGACUUACUGGAACAGAGCCAGAACAGAACAGAGCCAUCAUUAAUGCUGUACCAGAAUUGUGUUAGGAAGGUCCUGCAUUCUCACCGUGAUGGGGCUUGGGACCGCUGCGACCACAAUGCCGAUGGUUGUCUGAGGAGACGGAGGAGUGGGGCUGGCACAAGGCACACCGUCGUCAGCCCUCUUAGUUUGUCCCUCUCCAGGUGAAGCACCUUCUGGGCCCACUCGCACACCAGAUCACAGGCUGCAAACCGCACGUCCUCCUGUAUGCUGCUCAGCUGGCCUGCUGUGUCUAAGACAUCACACUGGAGCUGCACGCAAGAGAUAAGCAGUUAAAC